rnacentral:rRNA from 1 species
UACAGAGGAGCCAAGCGUUGUCCGGAUUGACUGGGCGUAAAGCGCACGCAGGCGGCACCGCGCGUGGGGUGUGAAAUCUGGCCGCUUAACGGCCAGGCGCCAUCCCAUACGGCGGAGCUGGAGUGAUGCAGAGGUCGAUGGAAUUGCCGGUGUAGUGGUGAAAUGCGUAGAUAUCGGUAGGAACACCAGUGGCGAAGGCGGUCUCCUGGGGCAUUCUUGACGCUGAGGCGCGAAAGCUGGGGGAGCGAACGGG